rnacentral:rRNA from 1 species
AUGACGAUGGAGCCCCGUCGGCGAGAUCCCGGGGAACCAGCCCCUGUAUAUGGUGAUUUUGAUGGGCGGUUCACGGUUGAAAUUCAUCACAGAGGAUUUUUCUGUGGAGCUGACAACAACAGAAGCUACAUUGACUAUGAAGUUGACUGGUUUGAUCACUGUGACUCUGACACUUGGUCCAUACUGUGGAUUGAAGACUUUGUGAAGCAGCUGGGCUAUGAUAGAGAAACAGGGCAGCAUGUUGUAUACUGGUGUCAGUCUGGUAGGACAGUUAAAGAAGGAAUGAGAGAGAUGACUUGUGAUGCUGAUAGCCUUGCAAUGAUAGCAGCUAGUACAUUCCACAAGAAUCUGUUGCUGCUCAUAGACCAUGGAGAGACACCGAGCAACCUUCUUAGAGAUGAUGUUCCAGUUGAUGGACUGCCUGAGUUGCCAAAGGUCGUAACCCCAACAAAAGAUGGCAAGGGCAAAGAACAAGCUAGCUCAGCUGAAGAGAGAAGUGACUCAACUAAAAGGAGAACAAGGAGAUUGUUUACUAAAGCAACAUAUUCAGGAUGUGCUUCUGAAGAAACGGAGGAAGAAGAUGAAAAUGGUGCAGCAGGUUCAGACACAGAUGAGGAAUUCUAUGAAAGUGACUAUGAUAUUAUGGACGCGGAUGAUGAUCUGUUUGAGGAACAUGUUGACAAAGAGGUGGAUGAUCAUAGAGAGAAGGUUUACACAUGUGACUAUGAAACAGAGCUAGCUGAAGAUGCUCUAGAUGAUCCAACCAUAAUGUUAUCCAAAGAACAGAGGGACAAGCUCAAGUACAACUUCAAGGCUUUUAAUCCAGAAACUGAUUUGAAUGCCCCUGUAUUCAGAUUAGGUAUGGUGUUUGGUACUGUUGAGGAGCUCAGGCAUGCUAUUACCUCUUACAGCAUCAGAAAUAGGGUUCCAAUCAAAAAGACCAGAAACACAUCAACUACAGUAGAAGCAGCUGGGAGUGGUUUUUGGCUAGCCUAA